AAUCUGCCUCUAUCCAUGGCAGCCCUUCUUAUUUUAAUGUUCUCACUCUUACCCACAAACUAAAUUUACAUUUCUUGCUGUUAUAAAUUUUAUAUUUUUGUGUGUGGAGAAACAUUCCAUCAAGAAGACUGAAGCCCAGUAAACUCCCAAAGACAAGACUUUCAGAAGGUCUGAAGACAAGUCACAUCAAACCACUGACCUAAGAAAAAUGGAAUUAAUGUUGCAACUGCAUUCUCCUAACUUCUCACUGGACUUGAGAUGGCUGCUUGCUUCACUAUGGGUCCUAAGGUUACACAGGAAGGCUUCUGCCAGACACUUUCUGCCAGGUUUCCAAUGGCAGGUAUGGUCAAGAGAGACACUGGAAGAUGGAAGUUACUUCAGUGUUCCAGUUGCUGGUGUAGCCAGGGCUUCACAGCGUGGAAGUAUGGCAUCAUGAUGUCUACUGCACAUCUAUUCCCAACCCCAUAUUCAGUUGUUUCAUGUAGUCUCUUGAAAUCUAUGGAAACUAGAAAACACUACAAAUAAAGCCUUGAUUUAUUGUUUUGUUGAUUGUCUUGACUUAAGAAACUGAUAGACAAUGUGUUAUUAAUGCAGAUUAAACUUAAAAAUGUUUACCUCAGUGGCCGUUAUACUGUGAAUACCACAAAAACUGAGCAAAUAUUUUUCUAGUAUUUGAAAAGUAUUAUCCAAUUCAGCAAAUAAUGUCACUUUUAAGUGAAUAAAGUAUGGGCAUGCCUUCAUUGCUUUAGUUUCUUGUUACUUGUAAACACACACAAGUAUAGCAACCUAACAUUUAUGCUUAAACUAUACUCAGUAGUCAAUUACAAUCAUAGAUUAGCUUUGGCCAUAAGAGAUCAGCAAAAAUCAACAAAGCAUAUCAAUUGGCUAUAUGAAAUUUUCAAUGUGCAUUGUAUGUUUUGUUAUUAUUUUAAAAUUGUGUUAUAUUUUUUAACUUUAAAACUUACAACACAAAUAUGUAAGUAUAUGUGUAUAUACACAUGCAUACACACACUCACAAUUGAGGGUUUUUGGCGUAGAAGGAGACAAACCAGAGGUUAAACAUUUGCCAGCACAUCACUGCUGAUAACUAAGCUGCUACUGUAUAACAAAUACCUGUUGAGGAAUAUGUGUCCCACACACUGCCCAUUUAUUUUGAUUUGGAAUAGUGAAUUCUUUAUGUCACAAAAGCCUUCAUAUUAUAGAGGUUUCUAGGUGAAAACAUAUUUUUUAAAGUGCCUAUCAUUGAUGGUAAGAUUGGAGACCCUUUUUAGAUACCCUUAAAUCAGAUCUGAUAAAAUUUGACUAUCCA
rnacentral:lncRNA from 1 species